UUAGUGGAUGCCUUGGAAGUAUUGACCGAAGAAGGACGCUUCAUGGUUCGCGAAACUCGUCGGGGAGUGACCAAUGACACUUUGAUCCGGCGGUGUCCGAAUGGGGAGACCCGUUCCGAUGCAAAAUCGGAAUAACCUCGUCACGAAAAUGUUCCGCCGUAAGGCGGGAUGUAUUAGUGGCAGGUGGGGUACCCGGUGAACUGAAACAUCUAAGUAACCGGUGGAAAAGAAAUCACAGAGAUUCCCUUAGUAGCGGCGAGCGAAAAGGGAAAAGCUCAAACCGCUUAUGCAUAGCAUAAGCUAGUUUAUAAAGUAGAAAGUUUUUAAGGUUUGUAAGGUAAUUCUUUAUGAACUUUAUAACUUUACGAACUUUAAACUGGCUCGUGCUGUGCACGAGCGGUGUUGUAGGACGGCUGGCUUAAAUGCAAAAGGUUACAAGAGUUAGGUAGUAGAAGGCGCCGGAAUUGCGCCGCCAAAGAGGGUGAUAGCCCUGUAAACGAAACCUAAUUCUACCUUCGCCUGUUCCUGAGUACCAUGGGGCACGAUUAAACCCUGUGGGAAGCUGGGGCGACCAAGCUCCAAAGCUA
rnacentral:rRNA from 1 species